rnacentral:lncRNA from 1 species
CAUGUAACAUAAGCUGAGAGUUUUAACACAAAUAUUAUCUCCUAGACAAUAUCCAAACUCAAAUGAAGUCCUCAUUAUAAAUAUUAUUACACGAAUUCACAGAAUAGUGAGGACUACUAAAGCAACCAUCUGGACCUUCACUCCAUUCCCCGACUAGUCCCAACUAUAUUCUCAUUUUCUGAAGAGAACAAUGAAAGCAAAAGGUGAGGUCAACUAGCCCAGUAAAGAAUAUUAUGACUAAGAUAAUGCAGAAAAAAUUAUCGUUAGCCUUCAACAGUGUUAAACUGAUAGAAUACAACAGAUAACAAGUUUAAUUAUAGCAGAACAAACAAUCCAUUAGAAGAGUUAAGUAGAGCAUGAUAUCUACUAUCUUCUAUGAUUUAAAAGUUUAUCAACAAUUUUAUCGCUGAGACUCAACUCAAUAUAUAAUCCACAUCACUGAAUUAUCUAUGCACUACAGGCUAAGGAUAUUCAUUAUUAUCACAUCCACAAAUCAUCCAUGCACUACGGGCCAAGGAUAUUCUUUAUUAUCAUCAAUGGUCAUGAUCAUGCCAACAACUGUCCAUCGAUACACUACGGGCCAAUGAGAACUUUUACCACAUCAUUUGUAACAUUACAGGUCAUGAUUAUACCGAAUAAUCCCUUGUCAUAAUUAUACCAAUCAACAGUCCAUCUAUGCACUACGGGCCAAAUAUGGCUUUCAUCACAAUAUAAGCAUGAUGAUUAUGGCAAUGAUAUAAGAAUUCAAUCAAACGAAAUCAAGGAUAAAUAUUAAAGAUUUUUAAUUUAUUUGGAGUUUAAAAAUGUCCAAAUUGACAAUAUGACAACUGCUUUGUGGAGUAAAAUUCAAGAAUAAUAUCCAUGUAUCAAAAAUAAUUUGGACAUUAAAGAAAUCAAUUUUUUGGGUGAAUAGUACUUCACCCCGUGAAUAGUACCCCGACAUGAAAAGAUUAAAAUUUAACAAGAAUGUUUAGAAAAUUAUUCCCGUGAAAAGAUACUCGAUGAAGCGCAAAUUUCAAGAAUAUUCUACUAAUUUCAAGGAGUAUAGAAGCAAUACUUAUCAACAUAAGUGUAGAAUUAUGAAUAUGAAAUGAAAUAAUAUUACUUACAUACUACAGAGAGGAAGAAAAUAUUGUUUCUUACGAAUAUUGAACAAAAUAAUAUCCCUUACCAUAAAAAGGAGAGUACUUCUAAAUGGUAUAACGGGGAUAUUUUUGAAGAAAACUUAUAUUGUUUUAUAUACUCAAAGCUUCCUUAACUCAAAAGAAAUACGCUUACUAUUAUAGAAGAAGAAUUCUCCAAUUCUAGUGUGAUUUUCAUUUCUAAACUAAACAUCCUAUUUAUAGGAGAAUGGAAGGAUACUAUUUAAGAAAAUAAUCACGGACAGCACAGAGAAAAUAAUUUCGGGUACAAUGUAUUAGUACACCAUUUGAUCAACCAAUAAGAGAAUAACCUCUUCUGAAGGUAAUUAGAAAUUGGGAGAGAUAGACCAAUGGGAGAGCGCCCUCCUGAGGAGGUAACUAACAAAGUGGGAGAUAAGGACCAAUGAGGGAGCGCCCUCUUUUGAAGGUAACUAGCAAAUGGGGAGAUAUGUACCAAUGAGGGAGCACCCUUAUUAACAAGUUAGUGAAUAGUAACUGAAUUAAUUGAAAAGUUGGCUAAUUAUCAUAACAUAAAGAAGAAUUUAUACCCUAAAAAAACUAAAUGAACAAACACCAAUUUAAAAGGAUAAUUGAACAAACAUCUUCCACUCAUCAAUUAUUAUUCUUAUCUUUAAUCAACAUAAUCUUUAUUAAUCAUUACUAUUAUAACUUAUAAUAUUAACAACCAGAUCAUUCCAAGGAAAGAGGGGGCUUUCCAAUAAGGAUUUCUCCCUAUUAGCGCGUAAUUAGGUGACCAAACCCCUUUCCUCGACAGAACUUUCUAGACAUCGUUAAUAAUGCAAAUAAUAAUAUAAAUAACUUUGUCGUCUCAAUUAUUGAUUUAAUAAUAUAAAAUAUUAUGCAGAUGAUACUGUGACAAUAAUUGAAUCAAUAAUAUGAGAGAUACUAUGCAGCAAUUACUUUGGAAAUAAUUGAAUAAAAUUGAGUGACUUCUCACGUAAGCAUAAAUAAUCAAAGAUAUUGUUCAAUACCGUGUGCUACUAUGCAACUACGCGUACUUUUGUCGUUAUUUUUAUAAAAAGAUAUUUCUUUCAUUUUCUAACUCCGACAAUAAUUCCGUUGUGGGCUCCACCAAUGAUUGUGUCGUCGUACGAAUAUUCCUUGACCAAACGAAUAUGUUAUAACAACUUGCUUACUUUGAAAAAUUUGUAAAUAUUAUCCAUAUCUAUAACAUUAUAUCAAAUCCAUACCAUAAUAUUCAAAAUGAUAUUUAGAGAAAAUUAAUCUUUAUUCAUAAAAGUUAGGAUCUUACAUUUAGUCUUUUUUCAUGAUUUAGAGUUCACCUCAACAUACUAGUACAUCCACCAUUCUUGUUUUUCUCCUAUAAUGUUAAAACAGUCUUCUAAGGAUUUAUUAUCCUUAAUUUGGCUUACUAACUCCAAUGGUAUAUGCCCAUAUAUCCUAUCUUGAUUUUUUGCAGUUUACUAGUUCAUUCAUAUUACACUUGGGUAUAUUAUAGACUCAAUUAUAUCAACUAGUGUGUUAAAGUCAACAUAUUUUAACACAUUUAUUAAACAGUCCCCUCUAUGAUAUUUUUAUGCUUUGGGGUAUUACAACUUGCUUGGGUAAUUUAUAGGUCUUAUAAUACUUUGUAGUUUUUUAUUUUUUUAUACUAAAGUAUUACAUAAUAUUGUUUUUCUUUUAUAAUGCCCAAAACAGUCCCCUCGUGUCUAUUUACGUCGGUAGCCAAGCUUGGCUUGGCCCUGUGAGGUUUGACUAAGCUUGGCGUGGCCUCAUGUGGCCUCGCGGUGCCAAACCCAGCCUAUCCGCCCCAACAGUCCCUUAAUAGGCUUUGAUGGCUUAACUUAGUAUAAUAAUUUCAUGUUUGCUAAAUUUUUUUUGUAAGCUAUUAAACUAAAUUUGGAAGCCACAGAGGGUUCCACAGUGAUACAGUAGCAACUUCUUAUUGCUGUUUCCAGCCAACUGCAGCUGUCAAUGACAACAACCCUUGCCUUUCUUUGACAACAAAAUUAUCCUCUAGUUCCAUGUGAAGUUUUAACAACCUACUUGUGACACAACUCUUAACAUCUUACUUAUCAGUUAUGCUUACGAAAAAGAACUGUUAGUGCCACUUAAGGCCAUUGCUUUUGCUGCUGCGACACGCCACUUGCUGCUAUUUGCAGCGAAAUGCCACUGCCAGUGGGCAGCAGCUGUGCUUCUCAUCUCAGGCCAUAAUCUUCAUUUAUAAUGACCCCUUUUUAGCAAAACAAAGAUGAUUCAUUCAUUUGAGAUAAAGCAUCAAUAGCAAGGCGAUAUACAACUACACAAAUAGAAUAAUUGAUAGCCCAAAAAGAACUCCCAGCAAUUGCCCAUUAGGUUUGCUGCUGCUGCCGAGGCAGCAGCCUUCCACACUGUUAACUAAAAUUCAAUCAUUAACUUUAAUUAUAACUUAUGUGUUAACUUGUCUAUACAUAUGCUUACUAUUUUGGUUUUCUAUUCAAAGCGGCCUCACCAAAUAGUCCCAACACAAUAAAAGUAGCUCAAUAUUCUAGGCACAUAAGGUGACUGCAGUAGCACAGUAUACCCAGCAGCGCGCUUGUGAACCAAUACAACUGUUGCUGCCAGCAGUUGCUCAGACCCAAACAACCCAUUUUUCUAUUUUAUGUCAUACGAACCCAUGAUCCAAUCCAAGUCAGUUGUUGAUAUGUUAUAGCUGGUAUAGAAAAUUAUUUUACAAAAAUUAUAAACAAUCCAAACUGAAAUCUUAGACAUAUGUAAUAGGGAAAUAAAAUUGCCUAGCUGCUCAAAAUAGAGAUUCCAAAUGACUUGACAUACUAAUUCCAACUUUUCAUUUUUAACUAGAAAUUAAGUUUUAUUCUAACUUUACACACUCAAUCCUUCUAGUUAACAUCACAUAUGUUUAAUAAAUCAAGCCCAAGCUUUACUUUAGUGUAGUAUUUAGUUUUCAGUCAAAACUGUUCUUUUAGGACUUUUAUCAAACAGUUGGUAGGCACAGUUUUGAGCUAUCAGUUUCACAAUCAUUGGUUUAUAUCAUGAACCCAUUUUAUCAUCCUUAUUACUCCUCAGCCCAACAUAUCUCCUUGUGCCUAAAUUCAAUCCAUAACAGUCAAAUACACAAUUAAAUAUAUGUAUAUUCAAGUAAUUGACAACUAUUUAGUUUAUAAAUCAGCUAAUUUACUAAUUUUCUUACCUUCAACUUUAUUAAUAAUACAAAUCACAACCAUAACAAUAGUAAUACUAACAUAAUAUAGUAGCCCCUUCAUUUUCUUUUUAGGCCAUUCGGCCAUUGCAGAUCACUAGUAGCAAGAAAAUGGAACGACAAAGGAUUAGAAAGAGCUUACCCUAAUAGUUCAAAGAUUACAAUUGGAUGUGCUGCUCAAUCUCUUCUCCUUCUCAGUCGGACUCCCUUUUAUUCUCUCUAUACUCUACUUACUUCUAUUUCUUGCUGGACUGAACUGUUCUACUUCUUAGAGAGUCGAUUAUAUGUUGUUUUCUCCCCCCUUUCAGUCAGUCCUAUUGCCAUUAGUUGGCCUCUACACAUCUACCCUACCAAGCUUCAAACAAUUAUUCCUAGUCUAGUCUACUUGGCCCCUACUGUCAAACCACAGCUACUCUAUCACUUCUUAUCCUUUGUAACUCUAUCCCUUCUUAUAACAAACUGCUAACUGAUGGCUAAACUAAC